AUGAAGUCGGAAUCGCUAGUAAUCGUGGAUCAGAAUGCCACGGUGAAUACGUUCCCGGGCCUUGUACACACCGCCCGUCACACCAUGGGAGUGGGUUGCAAAAGAAGUAGGUAGCUUAACCUUCGGGGGGGCGCUUACCACUUUGUGAUUCAUGACUGGGGUGAAGUCGUAACAAGGUAACCGUAGGGGAACCUGCGGUUGGAUCACCUCCUUACCUUAAAGAAGC
rnacentral:rRNA from 1 species